rnacentral:rRNA from 1 species
GAGUUUGAUCCUGGCUCAGGAUGAACGCUAGCGGCAGGCUUAACACAUGCAAGUCGAGGGGUAGAGUUAGCUUGCUAACUUGAGACCGGCGCACGGGUGCGUAACGCGUAUGCAACCUACCUUCAACAGGGGGAUAGCCCAGAGAAAUUUGGAUUAAUACCCCAUGGUAUUUUCGGAUGGCAUCAUCUGAUUAUUAAAGUUCCAACGGUUGAAGAUGGGCAUGCGUCCCAUUAGCUGGAUGGUAAGGUAACGGCUUACCAUGGCUACGAUGGGUAGGGGUCCUGAGAGGGAGAUCCCCCACACUGGUACUGAGACACGGACCAGACUCCUACGGGAGGCAGCAGUGAGGAAUAUUGGUCAAUGGGCGCAAGCCUGAACCAGCCAUGCCGCGUGCAGGAUGAAGCAUCUAUGGUGUGUAAACUGCUUUUGUACGGGAAGAAACACCGGUUCGUGAACCGGCUUGACGGUACCGUAAGAAUAAGGAUCGGCUAACUCCGUGCCAGCAGCCGCAGUAAC